GACGAACGCUGGCGGCGUGCUUAACACAUGCAAGUCGAACGAAGAGCGAUGGACGCUUGCUUCCUUCCAUCUUAGUGGCGCACGGGUGAGUAACGCGUAAUCAACCUGCACUUAAGAGGGGGACAACAGUUGGAAACGACUGCUUAUAGCGCAUAAGAUUUAAUCUCGGCAUUGAGGAUAGAUGAAAGGUGGUGCUUUCAUGUAAGCUAUCACUGAAGGAGGGGAAUGCGGUUGAUUAGCUAGGUGGAGGGGUAAGCGGCUACCAAAGGGAAGAUCAGUAGCCGGGCCUGGGAGAGGGAUGGCCACAUUGGGACUGAGACCAGGCCCAAGACUCUCAGGGAGGCAGCAGUGGGGAAUCUUCCGCAAUUGACGAAAGGCUUACGGGGCAACGCCGCGGUGGGGAAUGCGGCUUUCGGGAUGUAAAAAUCUGUUAAUCGGGACGAAAGACCUGCUUGCGAAUAUUGGGAAGGAUUGACGGUACCUGAAUAGAAAGCCACGGCUAACUACGUG
rnacentral:rRNA from 1 species